rnacentral:rRNA from 1 species
UACAGAGGUCUCAAGCGUUGUUCGGAUUCAUUGGGCGUAAAGGGUGCGUAGGCGGCGCGGUAAGUCGGGUGUGAAAUCUUGGAGCUUAACUCCGAAACUGCAUUCGAUACUGCCGUGCUUGAGGACUGGAGAGGAGACUGGAAUUUACGGUGUAGCGGUGAAAUGCGUAGAUAUCGUAAGGAAGACCAGUGGCGAAGGCGGGUCUCUGGACAGUUCCUGACGCCGAAGCACGAAGGCCAGGGGAGCAAACGGG